UUCAAGGCCAAUUCUAAGCUUAAAAGCAUUAUAACAUCCUCUUGCAUCUUACUUUACUAAAUUCACUUUCAAAAAUGGAAUCUCUGGUCCCGGAAUCCGGUGUGAACAACCCAUGCAGCAGAAUAAGAGUAUAGUUGACGCACUAUACAAGGCAUUAGCACAAGGUCACAUGGAUACCGUGGCUAAAUUCCUAGCAAGUGGUCUAGAGUGGUGGUUCCAUGGCCCUCCACAACGUCAGCACAUGAUGAGAGUGCUGACCGGUGAGGUAACUCACAAUGACUUCAGAUUCGAGCCACGAAGCAUAGAGGUUAUCGGCGAUUGUGUGAUUGCAGAGGGCUGGGCAGGUGCACAAGUAUACUGGGUGCACGUAUGGACCCUGAAAGGUGGUCUUAUUACGCAAUUUAGGGAGUAUUUUAACACAUGGCUCACUGUGAAGGACACUAGCCCAAAUCGUAGGGAAAUUGGGGUAGAAAGCCGCCACACCUUGUGGCAGAGCCACCCCAGAGACCUUUCUAGCCGUUCGCUACCCGGCCUUCUUCUGGCUAUUUAAAGAGCCUGUGGCUAGUGGGUCAUGAAAUUGUUCUAGCUGCCUAUAAAACUCUAAUGAAUAUGGAAAUUUUUAUAUGCUAUAUUUUAUGUCUCGCUUUUAUGCAUGAAAGUGUAGCAGUCUGUCAAGGCAUGCGCAUGGCGUGGUGUUUUAUUUCUGCAAAUAAUUUUAUGGUGGGUUUUUUGGCUGGAAGCUAAGAGAAAAAUGGCACGGAGAUGCAGAGAAGGAAUAGAACGUUGACAGUGAAAUAAAAAAUUAAAUCUUACUUUUAAGCUUCGUUUG
rnacentral:misc_RNA from 1 species